UAUAGUGGGUCGAAGGACGUAGGCUGUAACUUAGGCAAAUCCGGGUUACAAUAGGCCAGAUCUUAUAGGCUCCUGACACUCUUCGGAGGAGAGGGAGAAUCGAUGAUACUGUCGUGCCAAGAAAAGCCACUAAGUAUAUUGUAUGUUGCCCGUACCGUAAACCGACACAGGUGGGUGGGAUGAGUAUUCUAAGGCGCGUGGAAGAACCCUGGUUAAGGAACUCUGCAAACUAGCACCGUAUCUUCGGUAUAAGGUGUGCCUACUUUGGUAUAUGGACUUGCUCCAGAAAGCUAGAGAGGUUGCAACAAAGUGUCCCUCCCGACUGUUUACCAAAAACACAGCACUUUGCUAACACGUAAGUGGAUGUAUAAGGUGUGACGCCUGCCCGGUGCUCGAAGGUUAACUGAUGAUGUCAGCGCAAGCGAAGCAUUUGAUUGAAGCCCGAGUAAACGGCGGCCGUAACAAUAACGGUCCUAAGGUAGCGAAAUUCCUUGUCGGUUAAAUACCGACCUGCAUGAAUGGCGUAACGAGAUGGGAGCUGUCUCAACCAGGGAUCCAGUGAAAUUGUAGUGGAGGUGAAAAUUCCUCCUACCCGCGGAAAGACGGAAAGACCCCGUGCACCUUUACUACAGCUUGACACUGUAGCUUGGAUACUCAUGUGCAGGAUAGGUGGGAGGCUAUGAUAUAUGGACGCAAGUACAUAUGGAGCCAUCCUUGAGAUACCACCCUUGAAUAUUUGAGUUACUAACUGCGACGAGUCAACCUCGUUCAGGACAAUGUCUGGUGGGUAGUUUGACUGGGGCGGUCGCCUCCUAAAAAGUAACGGAGGCUUACAAAGGUUAGUUCAUGGCGGUUGGAAAUCGCCAGUUGAGUAUAAUGGCAUAAACUAGCUUGACUGUGAGACAUACAAGUCGAACAGAGACGAAAGUCGGUCAUAGUGAUCCGGUGGUUCUGUGUGGAAGGGCCAUCGCUCAAAGGAUAAAGGUACGCCGGGGAUAACAGGCUGAUCUCCCCCAAGAGCUCACAUCGACGGGGAGGUUUGGCACCUCGAUGUCGGCUCAUCGCAUCCUGGGGCUGAAGUAGGUCCCAAGGGUAUGGCUGUUCGCCAUUUAAAGCGGUACGCGAGCUGGGUUCAGAACGUCGUGAGACAGUUCGGUCCCUAUCUUCCGUGGGCGUAGGAAAGUUGAAGAGAUUUGUCCCUAGUACGAGAGGACCGGGAUGGACGUACCACUGGUGUACCAAUUGUUCUGCCAAGAGCAUCGUUGGGUAGCUACGUACGGAUGUGAUAAGAGCUGAAAGCAUCUAAGCUCGAAGCCAACUCUAAGAUUAACUUUCCCUGAAGUUCCCAGUAAGACUAACUGGUUGAUAGGCUAGAUGUGUAAGCGUUGUAAGACGUUUAGCUGACUAGUACUAAUAGAACGUUUGGC
rnacentral:rRNA from 1 species